rnacentral:rRNA from 1 species
GGGUGAGUAAUAUAUCGGAACGUGCCCAGUCGUGGGGGAUAACGCAGCGAAAGCUGUGCUAAUACCGCAUACGAUCUCUGGAUGAAAGCGGGGGACUCGCAAGAGCCUCGCGCGAUUGGAGCGGCCGAUAUCAGAUUAGCUAGUUGGCGGGGUAAAAGCCCACCAAGGCGACGAUCUGUAGCUGGUCUGAGAGGACGACCAGCCACACUGGAACUGAGACACGGUCCAGACUCCUACGGGAGGCAGCAGUGGGGAAUUUUGGACAAUGGGCGAAAGCCUGAUCCAGCAAUGCCGCGUGCAGGAUGAAGGCCUUCGGGUUGUAAACUGCUUUUGUACGGAACGAAACGGUCUGCCUUAAUACGGUGGGCUAAUGACGGUACCGUAAGAAUAAGCACCGGCUAACUACGUGCCAGCAGCCGCGGUAAUACGUAGGGUGCGAGCGUUAAUCGGAAUUACUAGGCGUAAAGCGUGCGCAGGCGGUUAUAUAAGACAGAUGUGAAAUCCCCGGGCUCAACCUGGGACCUGCAUUUGUGACUGUAUAGCUAGAGUACGGUAGAGGGGGAUGGAAUUCCGCGUGUAGCAGUGAAAUGCGUAGAUAUGCGGAGGAACACCGAUGGCGAAGGCAAUCCCCUGGACCUGUACUGACGC